rnacentral:rRNA from 1 species
UGGGGAAUUUUGGACAAUGGGGGAAACCCUGAUCCAGCCAUCCCGCGUGUGCGAUGAAGGCCUUCGGGUUGUAAAGCACUUUUGGCAGGAAAGAAACGUCAUGGGUUAAUACCCCGUGAAACUGACGGUACCUGCAGAAUAAGCACCGGCUAACUACGUGCCAGCAGCCGCGGUAAUACGUAGGGUGCAAGCGUUAAUCGGAAUUACUGGGCGUAAAGCGUGCGCAGGCGGUUCGGAAAGAAAGAUGUGAAAUCCCAGAGCUCAACUUUGGAACUGCAUUUUUAACUACCGGGCUAGAGUGUGUCAGAGGUAGGUGGAAUUCCGCGUGUAGCAGUGAAAUGCGUAGAUAUGCGGAGGAACACCGAUGGCGAAGGCAGCCUCCUGGGAUAACACUGACGCUCAUGCACGAAAGCGUGGGGAGCAAACAGG